rnacentral:misc_RNA from 1 species
GAUGAAGAACGCAGCGAAAUGCGAUAAGUAAUGUGAAUUGCAGAAUUCAGUGAAUCAUCGAAUCUUUGAACGCAUCUUGCGCUCCUUGGUAUUCUGAGGAGCAUGCCUGUUUGAGUGUCAUUAAAUUCUCAACUACACUGACUUUGAAUUGGUGUGGCUUGGAUUUGGGGGGAAAAUUGUUGUGGGCUUUUUGUAUAGUCUGCUCCCCUGAAAUUGUUUAGCGGUACCUUUGUGGAACUGUCUACAGGUGUGAUAAUUAUCUACAUCUUAGACAUCUGCUGGAAUGCUGCUUUCUAAACCUUACUUGUAUUGACAAUCUUGACCUCAAAUCAGGUAGGACUACCCGCUGAACUUAAGCAUAUCAAUAAGCGGAGGA